AGAGUUUGAUCCUGGCUCAGAACGAACGCUGGCGGCAUGCCUAAUACAUGCAAGUCGAACGCGCCUAGCAAUAGGCGAGUGGCGGACGGGUGAGUAACGCGUGGGAACCUGCCCUUGAGUGCGGGAUAACCGAGGGAAACUUCGGCUAAUACCGCAUGUUCCCGGAGCAAUCCGGGGAAAGAUUUAUCGCUCGAGGAGGGGCCCGCGUCGGAUUAGCUAGUUGGUGGGGUAACGGCCUACCAAGGCGAUGAUCCGUAGCUGGUCUGAGAGGAUGAUCAGCCACACUGGGACUGAGACACGGCCCAGACUCCUACGGGAGGCAGCAGUAGGGAAUAUUGGACAAUGGGGGCAACCCUGAUCCAGCAAUGCCGCGUGAGUGAUGAAGGCCUUAGGGUUGUAAAGCUCUUUCGCGCGCGACGAUGAUGACGGUAGCGCGAGAAGAAGCCCCGGCUAACUUCGUGCCAGCAGCCGCGGUAAUACGAAGGGGGCGAGCGUUGUUCGGAAUUACUGGGCGUAAAGGGCGCGCAGGCGGCUCUUCAAGUCAGGCGUGAAAGCCCCGGGCUUAACCUGGGAAUUGCGCUUGGGACUGGAGGGCUUGAGUACGGGAGAGGAGAGUGGAAUUCCCAGUGUAGAGGUGAAAUUCGUAGAUAUUGGGAAGAACACCGGUGGCGAAGGCGGCUCUCUGGACCGUAACUGACGCUGAGGCGCGAAAGCGUGGGGAGCAAACAGGAUUAGAUACCCUGGUAGUCCACGCUGUAAACGAUGUGCGCUAGACGUUGGAGGACCUAGUUCUCCAGUGUCGCAGCUAACGCUUUAAGCGCACCGCCUGGGGAGUACGGCCGCAAGGUUAAAACUCAAAGGAAUUGACGG
rnacentral:rRNA from 1 species